CGAUUUUUAACGUGGGGAUCGCGAAUAGUCGGAGGAACCGGCGAAAUCGUGAACGCGUGUCGGUGCGUAAUCGCACACAUGCGCCGCUCGCGACUGACUGCUCGCGAGUCUUUGCUAAAGCGGCCUGAUACGACGUACCCCACAUACGCCGCUCUUCGCGUGUACGGCUUCCUCUCUUUAGUGGGGGAUACUUUUGUGAGGGAACCUACAUUUUCUAAAAUCGACGUCGCUCGCGUGGCUGUUCGGAGACCGGACUUUGUAAUCGUUGUGAACUGAAGAUUUAAUUUUUUUUAUCACUACACCGUGGAUUUUAUGUUUAUGAAAAAUUAUAUGUGCAGAAGACAUAAAGACUGCGUGUAAUGUGCAAAAUUCAUGGUAUGAAAAGUAUAAUCAUGUACGUCAUUAUUUUUUAACUGUAAAAGAAAUAUUGAAUUCAGAUUUCAUUUUUUAAACUGAUAUCACGAACUUAGUAUUUUGCAUAAAGGUUCUACUUAUUGUCCAUUGUACAUAAAAUGAAUUAUUUUAAAUGAUAUUUUCUUUCCUAGAAGAAAGUUUCUUAUACAGAGUGUCCCAGUAUUGAUAGAUACAGCCUGGGUGUACAUGCAGGUGAUUUGUGCUGAUGUGGAGUUGACUAUACAGGAGAGAAUAUGUCGGAAAUAUGAAAUAAAUUUUCGUCAUCGAGAACAAAGCCUGGAAUAAAAAUCUAUUCCAUAUUUCUAACUUAUUUCCUCAAGUACGAUCACUCCCUCCACGGUAGUACCAUGAAUACUGAGACAUACUAUAUAAAGAAAACUGACUUUCCUAUUUCCUUUUAUCGUUAACUGUUUAAGUGUGUUUAUAUUACGUGUAAGAACCACGGAUACCAUCGAUUAGUCUUCGUAGAAACCAGCGGUCAGCUCGUUACUAAUCGAAACAGCGGUAAAUUUCCGACUGCGUACACGGAACGACUAAAGCCACCGUCGAAUUUGUUGAAAUUAAGAACGACGAAAAGGAGCUUGUCUUUCUUUCCGAAUUGUGCAAAUAGGAAAUGUGAAAAGAGGCGCAGCUGCAUUGUAUGGUAAGCAGUGACGAAAUUACAAGUGAUAAAUAUUGAUGGAAAGAAAUUUAUGAACCGCAAUUUCUAUACGUGAUUUCAUGACUAUAAAAGUAGCUCGUAAUCGGUAAUAACGCCGACGAACACGCUGAGGUUACGGCCGUUGCAUUCAAAGACGCGUCACAAGGAGACUGACGUACGGAAUCGAUUUGCUUCCCGACAGGAUGACAAGAAAAAUGAUCUUUUCCGGAACGAAGGUGAAGCUUUUCUCUCUGCACUGACUCAUUUUCUUACGUAAUCGGCAAACGAGCUAUCCUGUUUAAGAUUGUCGUCCUGAAAUCGCUUCGUCCGCCAUUGUUCUCUACGGAUCGUCCUUCGAUCGAGCAAUUUCGUAUGAUUCAUAUUAUGGAGUGUAAUUUAUGCAAUUUUAUAAAUAAAGUAGCGACUAGGAAAUUGUGCGAAAAUUCUCUCAA